rnacentral:ncRNA from 1 species
GGAACCGGCAAACUUUCCGAAAGGGAAGGGCGCAAAGCCGUGGGUCUACGGACAUGAUGUCUAUGACAGCCUGGCUGC